rnacentral:rRNA from 1 species
UCGUAACAAGGUCUCCGUUGGUGAACCAGCGGAGGGAUCAUUACCGAGUUUACAACUCCCAAACCCCUGUGAACAUACCACUUGUUGCCUCGGCGGAUCAGCCCGCUCCCGGUAAAACGGGACGGCCCGCCAGAGGACCCCUAAACUCUGUUUCUAUAUGUAACUUCUGAGUAAAACCAUAAAUAAAUCAAAACUUUCAACAACGGAUCUCUUGGUUCUGGCAUCGAUGAAGAACGCAGCAAAAUGCGAUAAGUAAUGUGAAUUGCAGAAUUCAGUGAAUCAUCGAAUCUUUGAACGCACAUUGCGCCCGCCAGUAUUCUGGCGGGCAUGCCUGUUCGAGCGUCAUUUCAACCCUCAAGCACAGCUUGGUGUUGGGACUCGCGUUAAUUCGCGUUCCUCAAAUUGAUUGGCGGUCACGUCGAGCUUCCAUAGCGUAGUAGUAAAACCCUCGUUACUGGUAAUCGUCGCGGCCACGCCGUUAAACCCCAACUUCUGAAUGUUGACCUCGGAUCAGGUAGGAAUACCCGCUGAACUUAAGCAUAUCAAU